rnacentral:lncRNA from 1 species
AAAUGUUUGGGGGAAGCCUGCUGAAACCAGAGCACAAUUUCCAGAGCCAAGUUACGGAAUGCAGCCCCACUGGCCACUCUCAUCAGGGACUUGAUAAAGACAUGGAAGGAAGACAAGCUUAUUGAGUUUACUGAUGACAGAAAGUUGGAAGAGGAAAAUGACUAUCAACAGAAAAUAAAUAUCAACAAAUGCUGGAAGCGAGGAAAGGUGAAUUUUUAACCAUAACUUGUGGGAAUUAAAUUGGUCUAGCAACUAUGGAAAUCAGUAUGAAAGUUUCCCAGAAAAGCUAAAAGGACUCCUGUUGGACCACCGGAAGCACGCCUGGAUAGACAUCUGAGGGACUCAAUCAGCACAUCACAAGAUACUUACAUAUCAUGAUUUAUUGUUGUACUGUUUCUGACAGCUGAGAAAUGGAACCAGCCUCAAUAUCUGUGGUGGUUUGAAUAGAUAUGGCCCCAUAGACCCUAAGUAUUUGAAUACUUGGCCAUUAGGGAGAGGCACUUCAGAGGUUGUAGCCUUGGUGGAAAUGGAGGAGGGUGGGGCUUUGGGGUUUCAG